AUGUGCACAAUUACAAUAAGCAGUUACCCAAUGACGGUUCCCACACAUACCCUUUAUUACACGAUUUUCUUCUUCUUCCAUUAUCAUAUGGCAACAGUUUCUGAUGUUUCACCUUCCAACUCCUUCCAUUAUACUAUAUCCAAAAUCAAGCAUCGACAAUUUCUUCUUUUUGUUCUUCCAUCUUCUUCUAUGGCGGUUUCUAUUAACUCUAAGAUUUCUUCACUUUCUCUCUCUCACGAACUACUCUUCUUCUUCCUUCUCCCUAUUCUUCUUCCUUCCUCCUUUUUGUAUCUGACUAUUUUGAUGUUGUUCUUUCAAGAAGUAUGGAACCGA